CCUACGGGUGGCAGCAGUGGGGGAUAUUGCACAAUGGGGGAAACCCUGAUGCAGCGACGCCGCGUGUAGGAAGACGGUCCUCUGGAUUGUAAACUACUUUCUCCAGGGACGAAGAUGACGGUACCUGGCGAGGAAGCUCCGGCUAACUACGUGCCAGCAGCCGCGGUAAUACGUAGGGAGCGAGCGUCGUCCGGAAUUACUGGGUGUAAAGGGAGCGUAGGCGGUGAUGCAAGAUGGGUGUUAAAGCUACCGGCUAAACUGGUAGUCGCACUCAAAACUGCAGCUAUUGAGUGAAGUAGAGGCAGGCGGAAUUCCUAGUGUAGCGGUGAAAUGCGUAGAUAUUAGGAGGAACACCAGUGGCGAAGGCGGCCUGCUGGGCUUUUACUGACGCUGAGGCUCGAAAGUGUGGGGAGCAAACAGGAUUAGAUACCCCAGUAGUC
rnacentral:rRNA from 1 species